AACGAACGCUGGCUGCAUGCCUAAUACAUGCAAGUCGAACGAGAUCUUCGGAUCUAGUGGCGCACGGGUGCGUAACGCGUGGGAAUCUGCCCUUGGGUUCGGAAUAACUUCUGGAAACGGAAGCUAAUACCGGAUGAUGACGUAAGUCCAAAGAUUUAUCGCCCAAGGAUGAGCCCGCGUAGGAUUAGGUAGUUGGUGAGGUAAAGGCUCACCAAGCCGACGAUCCUUAGCUGGUCUGAGAGGAUGAUCAGCCACACUGGGACUGAGACACGGCCCAGACUACUACGGGAGGCAGCAGUAGGGAAUAUUGGACAAUGGGCGAAAGCCUGAUCCAGCAAUGCCGCGUGAGUGAUGAAGGCCUUAGGGUUGUAAAGCGCAUUUACCCGGGAUGAUAAUGACAGUACCGGGAGAAUAAGCACCGGCUAACUCCGUG
rnacentral:rRNA from 1 species